GAACUGUCGUCCAGGCUAAGCAGGCCAUUUGGGAGAAAUAGCAAAGAGCAUGAAAAGAUCAGAGAUGGGGAGAAGGAAGCUAGCUUUCUGUCUUGUUGUAAAAAGGAAGAAAUAAAUGGUCCUUGGGAAAGCUCAGUGAUGGUGUUCUGAAGCCAAGUUACAUCCUAUACAGCUGUGAAUACGCCUGAGGAGCUGUCUCCUUGGUUUUCUGAAGCAUCACUAAGGGAGCCAGAGGAAAUCAGAGCUCAACAGAGCUCUGGGGAUGCUGACAUUCACAGCUUCAGCUCUUUAUCAGGCGAGGUCAAAAGAUCACCUGUCUGGUCCGUCCUUGAAUAUCCUCCAGUGUGCGGGGUUGGACUGUAAUGAAGUCUGCAGGAGAGGAGCUGGCCCUCAGAUGCUACAUGUCAGUGUGUGUGGGAAACACCUGAACUCUGCCAUUACAGAUCAGAGAGAUGAGCUGCAAUCUCAUUCAAUAGAUUGUGUGCAUUCCUGGGCUUUGGCUACGACCAUGCAGACAGGAGGGCUCUGAAGCCCAGCUGCAUCCUGUGGAGCUGUGCAUAAGCUUGAGGCAGCUGUCAACUGGGUCACAUGAAGCUUGGUGAAUGGAGUGAGAAGACAGUAGGAGGACAUUAUGACACUGCCCUCCCAAUGGAGACAUGGAAGUGUUGACAAUCACAGUGGGAGAGU
rnacentral:lncRNA from 1 species